UUUUGUUCACAUCACUCAAUUUUCUUUUUUUUUUUUGCAUUCCUGAGAGAGGACGACGGUGAUGAGAGGAGCCACGACGGUGAUGAGAGGAAGAGGAACAGUCUGGAUGAGGCGCUGAUAGGAAAAGGGAGAAAGAAGAGAACGCCUUAAUCGCAGCCCUUAGAUUCAUUGUUGCUAGGGUUUUCUAUUUUAUGCUCGAUCGUUUGCUACGAUGCUGAGGAAAUUAAGCAAAGCGAGGAUUGGCCAUGGAACAAUAUGAACACUGUGCUGGGAAAUUGGAUCUUUAUUUCGUUCCAUGAUUGAAGAACAUGUACUGUGAACCUUAUGGUAUGCUUUGCUUUAUAUUCCUAUAUUCAUUCAUGGGUCUUCUUCAACAUUAAGAAUAUGUAGAGCUUUUCUAAUCAGUUGAGGAUGUCUGCAAAAUUCUUGACGACAAAGUAAAGAUCCUAAAUUAAUCAAGAGAGUUGAUAGUUCAUUUUGUUAUUCAAAAUCAGAGUUUGAUAGAGGGAUAUCAAGGUGACAAAGCUUUUCUUGGUCUUGUGUUGGUGUUGGUACAGCUAUCCGCUUUCAUUGAACAGUCUGCCAUUCCACAUAUCAACGAGCCACAAGGGACACAAUAUAUUGACAUUAAGGAUGGAAUUAAGCUAUGUUUAGGAUG